rnacentral:rRNA from 1 species
GACGAACGCUGGCGGCGUGCUUAACACAUGCAAGUCGAACGGAAAGGCCCUGCUUUUGUGGGGUGCUCGAGUGGCGAACGGGUGAGUAACACGUGAGUAACCUGCCCUUGACUUUGUGAUAACUUCAGGAAACUGGGGCUAAUACCGGAUAGGAGCUCCUGCUGCAGGGUGGGGGUUGGAAAGUUUCGGCGGUUGGGGAUGGACUCGCGGCUUAUCAGCUUGUUGGUGGGGUAGUGGCUUACCAAGGCUUUGACGGGUAGCCGGCCUGAGAGGGUGACCGGCCACAUUGGGACUGAGAUACGGCCCAGACUCCUACGGGAGGCAGCAGUGGGGAAUAUUGCACAAUGGGCGGAAGCCUGAUGCAGCAACGCCGCGUGCGGGAUGACGGCCUUCGGGUUGUAAACCGCUUUCGCCUGUGACGAAGCGUGAGUGACGGUAAUGUGUAAAGAAGCACCGGCUAACUCCGUG